rfam:Gossypium hirsutum cultivar TM-1 unplaced genomic scaffold scaffold2480.1, whole genome shotgun sequence
AGUUAAAUUUUCAUCCAAUUCUAUUAUUAAAAACUGGUUUAGAUGAUGAAAUAACUUGACAGUUACAGGUAGUGUGCCACAUGUAUGUUAUUCUGACAUGUUGGGACUAGUUUUUAACAAUAAGAAUGGAUUGAAAUUUUAACA